ACCGUUCCAUCUACUGCCAACAUACAUCAGAGAUGGUGCAGCCUGCUUUCUAAAUAUGGGCUCGUUAUCUGCUGCAGAUGAGUACUGCACUCCUCGUGUUAUCAAGUCACUCAAGAAAUAAUCUGCCAGUACUUGCAGUGCCUGAGUUGAUGGUGGUAGGCAACUCUGGCGACAGAGACCCCCAUGCCUGAAGCCUAUUCACUGUAGUCUCUCAUGUAUGGUCAAGCAAUCAUGCAAUUCAGACAAUCACCAUAGUAUCUCGUUUGCUAACUUAAUUGCUAAAAAUAAAUUCUGUUUUGAACCAAUCUGUCUCGAAUUAAAAUCAAGAUAAUUCUGUUAUUUGAUUGACCCAAUCCCAAACGUACUGUUGAAUUCGGCAUGGUUUCUUAGAUACUAGAUUUUCCGUUAAGGUGUCAGAUGAC